GUCUGUCAUAAGGGAUAAGUCAUUAGUCCUGGUGGUGUAUCGUAUUUGGGUACUCUGAGGAUCAAGGGAAGUGAUUCUUCACAAAGGGAACCUCCACCCUGAACUGUGUUCCACUGCAGAUCUCUGGGGCAUGCACUCUCACACAACAAACAUCCUGCCGCAGCCUGGUGGGUCAUUACCAUGGACGAUGUCAAACGUUGAAACUCACCGGGAUAUAGAAGAUAGCUAAGCCUGCCAAGAUGGUUUCUGCAUACCUUGGAGUAGUCCUCGGAGAGGAUAUCGAAGGCAACGACUGUUGAGAGAAGUAAAAUACGGAGUCAAGACAACGCUCGAACUUCAAGGAUAACUGGAAAGUAUCAUAGCAGCGGAUCCGUGG